CCUACGGGAGGCAGCAGUGGGGAAUAUUGCACAAUGGGGGAAACCCUGAUGCAGCGACGCCGCGUGAGUGAAGAAGUAUUUCGGUAUGUAAAGCUCUAUCAGUAGGGAAGAAAAUGACGGUACCUGACUAAGAAGCCCCGGCUAACUACGUGCCAGCAGCCGCGGUAAUACGUAGGGGGCAAGCGUUAUCCGGAUUUACUGGGUGUAAAGGGAGCGUAGACGGCAGAGCAAGUCUGAAGUGAAAGCCCGGGGCCCAACUGCGGGACUGCUUUGGAAACUGCCCGGCUAGAGUGCUGGAGAGGUAAGCGGAAUUCCUAGUGUAGCGGUGAAAUGCGUAGAUAUUAGGAGGAACACCAGUGGCGAAGGCGGCUUACUGGACAGUAACUGACGUUGAGGCUCGAAAGCGUGGGGAGCAAACAGGAUUAGAUACCCGGGUAGUC
rnacentral:rRNA from 1 species